UAGUCCACGCUGUAAACGAUGAGUGCAAGGUGUUGGGGAUCAAACCUCGGUGCCGCCGUUAACACAGUAAGCACUCCGCCUGGGGAGUACGUACGCAAGUAUGAAACUCAAAGGAAUUGACGGGGACCCGCACAAGUAGCGGAGCAUGUGGUUUAAUUCGAUGCAACGCGAAAAACCUUACCAGGGCUUGACAUAAAAGUGACGAGGGAUAGAGAUAUUCCUCUUCUCUUCGGAGACAGUUUUAC
rnacentral:rRNA from 1 species